AAUUAAAGUUGGAGUUUGAUCCCACUCUGCUUCCUCCGCGCUUGUCUGCCUCUGGUCCACCACAAAAUACCUCAAUUAUGACAAUUUUGACUUUUUAUGGAGGCACUGAUUGCUUUAAUCAAUUGUCAAAGUUGAUUGCUUUUAGUUUAAAUUAUGAUAAAAAGAAACUACAUACUACUACAUACAGACUACACUUCAACUCAAAAUGUGUGCAAACCAUCAAAAAUGAUCACAUAUUUAGCAGCAAUAGCUCACCCAAGAAUACUUUAAUAAUCAGAAAGGUUUGUAGAGGACUCAAUGACUGCAAGGUUGCAAAACAAGCCUAAAUUGUGAGCUUUCCACCUUCAAGCAGAUUAGAUCUUGGAGUAUCUAAUCUUAGGUAGGUGGUAUUUCUAAAAGUAAGAUCCAAAGAAAAUAAAGGAUCCUAGUUUUUGUUUUUUUUUGUUUUUUUCCAGCAGAGCGUUGUCUGAAGCAAGUUUCCUUAGCCAGUUUGAUUUCGUCCAUAGUGUAUCGUGGUUCCACGUGUUCCUGAGAAGAUUUCUACAAAUACGUCCUGACUGAUUGAUGGAUUUUGAAGUUAAUCUGCACCUGGCUUUACACUAUAAAAUGUGGUAACAGGAGCCUUCUAUCAACCACCUGACUGGCAGUGUGCAGCAACAUGUGGGAGAAUGUGAGUGCAGCAUUACUUUCUGCUGCAUACAGCUGGAAAAACCAUCCAAUCAGUCCAGCACGUUUUUUGGCAUCUCUUCAAAAGGGAAUCAUACCGUAAGAACGGUAUGAUCGGAAUUCAGACCCUUAAUACUGGUAAACUAUAUCUA